AUUGAACGCUGGCGGCAUGCCUUACACAUGCAAGUCGAACGGCAGCACGGGAGCAAUCCUGGUGGCGAGUGGCGAACGGGUGAGUAAUACAUCGGAACGUGCCCUGUCGUGGGGGAUAACUAGUCGAAAGAUUAGCUAAUACCGCAUACGACCUGAGGGUGAAAGCGGGGGACCGCAAGGCCUCGCGCGAUAGGAGCGGCCGAUGUCUGAUUAGCUAGUUGGUGGGGUAAAGGCCCACCAAGGCGACGAUCAGUAGCUGGUCUGAGAGGACGAUCAGCCACACUGGGACUGAGACACGGCCCAGACUCCUACGGGAGGCAGCAGUGGGGAAUUUUGGACAAUGGGGGCAACCCUGAUCCAGCAAUGCCGCGUGUGUGAAGAAGGCCUUCGGGUUGUAAAGCACUUUUGUCCGGAAAGAAAUCCCUUGCUCUAAUACAGCGGGGGGAUGACGGUACCGGAAGAAUAAGCACCGGCUAA
rnacentral:rRNA from 1 species